GUGAAUUUCCAGCUUCCCUGGGUGGGGUUGAGAUGGGAACUAUGGACCUGUCUUGCUUGGACUGAAGCGGCACCAUGCAGCUGGCCACCUGUGGCUACCUGGCCAUGGACCACAGCGUUCCCACCUCCACAUCAGCCACAGACGCAAAGAGGAGCUGGGGUUCUGCACACCAGAUGUGGGUCAGAUUCCCAGAGAUGCCCAAUUCUGAUGCCAAAGAAAGUCGGGAGACUCGCGAGGGACUUAAAGAGACAGCACAGCUUUUCCAGCAUGCUGAGACCUGAGGGCUGAGUGCAGCUCUUUGGAACUUAAGAAGAAAGAAGUGGGACCAAGGUGAGCAAAGGGACUGGGUGCA